rnacentral:misc_RNA from 1 species
GAUGAAGAACGUAGCGAAAUGCGAUAAGUAAUGUGAAUUGCAGAAUUCAGUGAAUCAUCGAAUCUUUGAACGCACAUUGCGCCCGCCAGCAUUCUGGCGGGCAUGCCUGUUCGAGCGUCAUUUCAACCCUCAAGCUCUGCUUGGUGUUGGGGCCCUACGGUUGACGUAGGCCCUUAAAGGUAGUGGCGUACCCUCUCGGAGCCUCCUUUGCGUAGUAACUAACGUCUCGCAUUGGGAUUCGGAGGGACUCUUGCCGUAAAACCCCCAAAUUUUCUAAUGGUUGACCUCGGAUCAGGUAGGAAUACCCGCUGAACUUAAGCAUAUCAAUAAGCGGAGGA